UUGGGCCUACGGGGGGCAGCAGUGGGGAAUAUUGCACAAUGGGCGAAAGCCUGAUGCAGCAACGCCGCGUGAAGGAAGAAGGGUUUCGGCUCGUAAACUUCUCUCAACAGGGACGAAAGAAAUGACGGUACCUGAAUAAGAAGCCCCGGCUAACUACGUGCCAGCAGCCGCGGGAAUACGUAGGGGGCAAGCGUUAUCCGGAAUUACUGGGUGUAAAGGGUGAGUAGGCGGCAUGGUAAGCCAGAUGUGAAAGCCUUGGGUUUAACCCGAGGAUUGCAUUCGGAACUUUCAAGCUAGAGUACAGG
rnacentral:rRNA from 1 species